rnacentral:rRNA from 1 species
AUUGAACGCUGGCGGCAGGCCUAACACAUUCAAGUCGAGCGGAUGAAGGGAGCUUGCUCCUGGAUUCAGCGGCGGACGGGUGAGUAAUGCCUAGGAAUCUGCCUGGUAGUGGGGGAUAACGUCCGGAAACGGGCGCUAAUACCGCAUACGUCCUGAGGGAGAAAGUGGGGGAUCUUCGGACCUCACGCUAUCAGAUGAGCCUAGGUCGGAUUAGCUAGUUGGUGGGGUAAAGGCCUACCAAGGCGACGAUCCGUAACUUGUCUGAGAGGAUGAUCAGUCACACUGGAACUGAGACACGGUCCAGACUCCUACGGGAGGCAGCAGUGGGGAAUAUUGGACAAUGGGCGAAAGCCUGAUCCAGCCAUGCCGCGUGUGUGAAGAAGGUCUUCGGAUUGUAAAACACUUUAAGUUGGGAGGAAGGGCAGUAAGUUAAUACCUUGCUGUUUUGACGUUACCAACAGAAUAAGCACCGGCUAACUUCGUG